rnacentral:rRNA from 1 species
UUUGCUGAGGAUACGGUUAACGGAGCGAAAGCGACGUUCAACCGCAAAAGAAGCAGAGGGGGCUUAGUGGUGGGGUGACUGCGUACCUUUUGUAUAAUGGGUCAGCGACUUAUAUUCUGUAGCAAGGUUAACCGUAUAGGGGAGCCGGAGGGAAACCGAGUCUUAACCGGGCGUUAAGUUGCAGGGUAUAGACCCGAAACCCGGUGAUCUAGCCAUGGGCAGGUUGAAGGUUGGGUAACACUAACUGGAGGACCGAACCGACUAAUGUUGAAAAAUUAGCGGAUGACCUGUGGCUGGGGGUGAAAGGCCAAUCAAACCGGGAGAUAGCUGGUUCUCCCCGAAAGCUAUUUAGGUAGCGCCUCGUGAAUUCAUCUCCGGGGGUAGAGCACUGUUUCGGCUAGGGGGCCAUCCCGGCUUACCAACCCGAUGCAAACUGCGAAUACCGGAGAAUGUUAUCACGGGAGACACACGGCGGGUGCUAACGUCCGUCGUGAAGAGGGAAACAACCCAGACCGCCAGCUAAGGUCCCAAAGUCAUGGUUAAGUGGGAAACGAUGUGGGAAGGCCCAGACAGCCAGGAUGUUGGCUUAGAAGCAGCCAUCAUUUAAAGAAAGCGUAAUAGCUCACUGGUCGAGUCGGCCUGCGCGGAAGAUGUAACGGGGCUAAACCAU